UAAGCAUAAAGUCCUAGUAAGAUGAAGCUGCGAACGGCUCAUUACAACAGUUAUAAUCUUUUUGAUGAAAUACGUACAAGGAUAUCUUUGAGAAUGUCAAAGCUAAUACUUGACGGGUAACGCCUUCAGUCGAGUGUAUUCCUCCGGGAGUAUAAUCUACUGAGGAGGGGAGGAUCCUAUGGUCCUUUCAAUAUAUUACCACUUCUUUGUGAAUAAGGGUGGAUUAUAUGCCAAGAGAAUUGUAGAAAUCGAGAGAUUUUCACAAGUCAUCAUUAAGAAUAUCUGACCUAUCAACUGGUUGUUGGUAAGGUAGUGGCUUACCAAGGUGAUAACGGGUAACGAGGAAUAAGGGUUCGACAUCGGAGAGGGAGCUUUAGAAAUGGCUACCACUUCUAAGGAAGGCAGCAGGCGCAAAAAUUACCCAAUCUUAACAACUGAAUGAGGUAGUGACGACAAUUAACGCUUUCCCUCCCAUUACAUGAGGAUUGCCGGAAUGAUCACGACAUAAACCAUCGUGAGAAAGCGCU
rnacentral:rRNA from 1 species